rnacentral:rRNA from 1 species
UUGAACGCUGGCGGCAGGCCUAACACAUGCAAGUCGAGCGGAUGAAGGGAGCUUGCUCCUGGAUUCAGCGGCGGACGGGUGAGUAAUGCCUAGGAAUCUGCCUGGUAGUGGGGGAUAACGUCCGGAAACGGGCGCUAAUACCGCAUACGUCCUGAGGGAGAAAGUGGGGGAUCUUCGGACCUCACGCUAUCAGAUGAGCCUAGGUCGGAUUAGCUAGUUGGUGGGGUAAAGGCCUACCAAGGCGACGAUCCGUAACUGGUCUGAGAGGAUGAUCAGUCACACUGGAACUGAGACACGGUCCAGACUCCUACGGGAGGCAGCAGUGGGGAAUAUUGGACAAUGGGCGAAAGCCUGAUCUAGCCAUGCCGCGUGUGUGAAGAAGGUCUUCGGAUUGUAAAGCACUUUAAGUUGGGAGGAAGGGCAGUAAGUUAAUACCUUGCUGUUUUGACGUUACCAACAGAAUAAGCACCGGCUAACUUCGUG